rnacentral:rRNA from 1 species
AGCAGCCGCGGUAAUUCCAGCUCCAAUAGCGUAUAUUAAAGUUGUUGCAGUUAAAAAGCUCGUAGUUGAAUUUCGGGAUUGACACAUCGGUCGUGCCUUAAGGGGUAUGAACUGGUGUAGUCAAUUUCUCACCUUCUGGAGAACCGCGAUGCCCUUAAUUGGGUGUCGCGGGGAACCAGGACCUUUACUUUGAAAAAUUAGAGUGUUUAAAGCAGGCAUUUUGCUUGAAUACAUUAGCAUGGAAUAAUAAAAUAGGACGGCAUGAUUCUAUUUUGUUGGUUUCUAGGAUCACCGUAAUGAUUAAUAGGGAUAGUUGGGGGCAUUAGUAUUCAAUUGUCAGAGGUGAAAUUCUUGGAUUUAUUGAAGACUAACUACUGCGAAAGCAUUUGCCAAGGAUGUUUUCAUUAAUCAAGAACGAAAGUUAGGGGAUCGAAGACGAUCAGAUACCGUCGUAGUCUUAACCAUAAACUAUGCCGACUAGGGAUCGAAUGAUGUUAAUUUUUAAUGUACUCA